rnacentral:rRNA from 1 species
CCUACGGGUGGCAGCAGUGGGGAAUAUUGGACAAUGGGGGCAACCCUGAUCCAGCCAUGCCGCGUGUGUGAAGAAGGCCCUCGGGUUGUAAAGCACUUUCAGUGAGGAAGAACGCCUGGUGGUUAAUACCCAUCAGGAAAGACAUCACUCACAGAAGAAGCACCGGCUAACUCCGUGCCAGCAGCCGCGGUAAUACGGAGGGUGCGAGCGUUAAUCGGAAUUACUGGGCGUAAAGCGCGCGUAGGUGGCUUGAUAAGCCGGUUGUGAAAGCCCCGGGCUCAACCUGGGAACGACAUCCGGAACUGUCAAGCUAGAGUGCAGGAGAGGAAGGUAGAAUUCCCGGUGUAGCGGUGAAAUGCGUAGAGAUCGGGAGGAAUACCAGUGGCGAAGGCGGCCUUCUGGACUGACACUGACACUGAGGUGCGAAAGCGUGGGUAGCAAACAGGAUUAGAUACCCCAGUAGUC